AACACUGUUCAUCCGCCGUUCGUGCGAAUCGUCAAAGAAGUUCAUCACAUCAGUCCGCCAUCUUCCUCAGCGCAGAAUUUUAUUUUUUGAAAAGGAUUUUUCGGAGAUUUAUUGCUUUAUUUAAAAAGGAAAUCGGAUAUCAGGAAUCCCUGACGAAACCCGAAUAUUCGGAAUCCCCAACUCGGGAGUUCUUUUGUGCAGACAUUGCGGCACCCAAAACUACGUUAAAAAAUCGUUCCGGGCGAUGAGAAGCGGCCAAGAUUCCACCCCUUGCAAUCCGUAGAAAGUGAUUUGUCCUCGGAAGCCUUUUUCCUCGGUCUUCAGUAACCCCGUUCGGAAUGCAUUUUCUAGAAAAAAUCAGGAACCAAUUGACACCGUAAGCGUAGCACGAUUUGUAGGACAAGUAUCUCAAGGAUGAUAUACCGGUCGCAUGGGUUGCAUACUCAUCACAUCUGCGGGGUGUAUGUUGGAGGCACCUGAAAUUGAAGGGAUUUUUUCAACAUUCAACUAUGUAGUCCAGAGCUAGCUGAUGUUAAAUAUUUUCUAAAGAUAGUCCGGAAUUUGCAUGAAAAACGAAGACUUUACCGUUUGAAGUGACGCCGAAGAAAUGCAAACAAAUAUGUAUAUUUUCUCAAGUUUUCGUUGUGAACGACUUUGAGCCAGAAUCAUCCUCGUACUAACACAAUCGAGAAGGCUAACGAGGGAUCUCCACACAAACAUGCGAUUCGUCGAAGAAGUUGUUAUCAUUCCUACCACGCCCCUGCGCAACAAAAUUGCCGUGUUCGAGCCACAUUUGAUGAAGAGUCUGCGUCUCUCCCACCAAGCUGCAGGAAAAGUAUGAACGCUGGGUUAACUUUGUACCGAAAGUGUCCGUUCUGGAGCAGAACACCAUCAAUCUUGAUCCGAGAUCGAGGAGUUGUUGGACUUCAACAACAUUAUUGUUCAGAUCACGAAUCCUUCCGCACAAUGUUACAAUCGACGCAGCAAAGUUUAUCCAAAUAUUUUGAUUAUUUGGUCGGGAAGCACAAUCUAUUUUGAUUUCCCCUCUGUCGGAAGUCUGAACCCAAAAUGUUCCUCGCCAAGUGGAAAUUGUAGUAGUCAGCGAGUGGAACAUGCCGCCCUGACUUUUGAAGUGAUUCAUCCGGCGAACCUUGGAUAUUGCAUAGUAGCGCAGCGUAUGACGUCACCCAAGACCCAUGAAGCGGAUUCCGAGCCGCUCGGCUAUGUUGUUUUCCACGAUGGCAACUCAUCUGAAACCGACCUGCGAGUUUCGAGUAAGAAGCCGCUGACCUUUCGCCUUAUCGUAAGGUCAUAUUCACAAUGGCUUUUGCCCUGGCUGAUAUUGCCAUUACAUUUCAGACUGAUCAGGACAACGCAUCAAAAAUUAAAAAAACUAAAAAUGGUCACUGAAUUGCACUGGACCGCUUCAGCUGGCUAUAAAAACCCAUCUGUGGGCAUAACAUUAUGUUAAUUAUAGAAAUUUAUAUUAUAAUAUAAUAGAUAAAUCGAUAAAUAAUUGUUUUUAUAUUAAAUAUCAUGCCAAUUCAAUGAUAAUAAAUUUAAA